GUCAAAUGAAGCGAAUACAUAAUCCCAAUCACAGCAAAGAUUAAAAAGGAGCGAAAAUAAAUAAAUUAAUAAAAAGUUUUUUUGAGAAACAACAACAAUUCUUAUGUAAUCAGUAUUUUUUUUAGUUGGAGAAAAUACCCCAUACACCCCCCUAAACUUUCAACAACUGACCGAAAGACCCCUAAACUUUUAUACUAGCCAAUGUACUCCUUAAACUAUUCCUAUCUGCCAAAUUAAUACCUCUGUUAGUUGGGUGUUAAAAAACUAACGUUUAAAUCACGUGAGAAGCACACAAAAAUUACCAAACUAAAUCAGCUUAGUUGGAAGGGAGAGAAAAAGCCAGGUUUAGAGAGAGGAAGACGAUAGACUGUGGAACCAGAAUAUUGAACCGCCACGACAACCUUCUCUCCGGUGCUAGACUCUUUGUCCUACAAUUGUCUUGCCACUGAGUACUUGGCAAUCAUGUAUGGGUACUCAACAAUCAAGUCAAAUUUGUAUAGAGAAGAACAACGCUAGUGGAAGCAAGAAGGACAAGGGAAAGGCCAAAGCCUAGUGGUAGCAAAAAGAACAAAGUUGCAAAGCAUAAGAGGAUUGUGUUUAAGUCCGAGUGUUAAUGUUGGAUGCCACUUGAAGUGACUAUUUAUGUAUGAGUACUAAAAAAUGGUUUGUGACAUUAUAAGAAUGGCUCCAUCAAUAUUCUUAAAAGGAUCUCAAUCUACCAUGAAUAUAAACAUCAAAUGAGUGCCUCCUUGAA